GUGCCCCUAAGACCGGGAUAGCCAUUGGAAACGGUGAUUAAUACUGGAUACUCCUUCUUUNUCACAAGUUAAGANANGGGAAAUGUUUUUUCGCUAAGGGAUCGGCCUAUAUCNCUAUCAGCUAGUUGGUGAGGUAACGGCUCACCAAGGCAAUGACGCGUAGCGGGUUUGAGAGGAUGAUCCGCCACACUGGUACUGAGACACGGACCAGACUCCUACGGGAGGCAGCAGUGAGGAAUAUUGCACAAUGGGGGAAACCCUGAUGCAGCAACGCCGCGUGGAGGAUGACGCAUUUCGGUGUGUAAACUCCUUUUAUAUGUCAAGAAAAUGACGGUAGCAUAUGAAUAAGCACCGGCUAACUCCGUGCCAGCAGCCGCGGUAAUACGGAGGGUGCAAGCGUUAUUCGGAAUCACUGGGCGUAAAGGACGCGUAGGCGGGUUGCCAAGUCUGAUGUGAAAUCCUAUGGCUUAACCAUAGAACUGCAUUGGAAACUGGUAACCUAGAGUAUGGAAGGGGCAGAUGGAAUUAGUGGUGUAGGGGUAAAACCCGUAGAUAUCACUAGGAAUACCGAAAGCGAAGGCGAUCUGCUGGGACAUUACUGACGCUAAGGCGUGAAAGCGUGGGGAGCAAACAGGAUUAGAUACCCUGGUAGUCCACGCCCUAAACGAUGAACACUAGUCGUCGGGGUACUAGUUUACUUCGGUGAUGCACUUUACAGAUUAAGUGUUCCGCCUGGGGAGUACGGUCGCAAGAUUAAAACUCAAAGGAAUAGACGGGGACCCGCACAAGUGGUGGAGCAUGUGGUUUAAUUCGAAGAUACGCGAAGAACCUUACCUGGCCUUGACAUUGAUAGAACCUGCUAGAGAUAGCGGGGUGCCCUUCGGGGAGCUUGAAAACAGGUGCUGCACGGCUGUCGUCAGCUCGUGUCGUGA
rnacentral:rRNA from 1 species